CCUACGGGAGGCAGCAGUAGGGAAUCUUCCGCAAUGGACGAAAGUCUGACGGAGCAACGCCGCGUGAGCGAUGAAGGCCUUCGGGUCGUAAAGCUCUGUUGUUAGGGAAGAAUAAGUGCUAGUUGAAUAAGCUGGCACCUUGACGGUACCUAACCAGAAAGCCACGGCUAACUACGUGCCAGCAGCCGCGGUAAUACGUAGGUGGCAAGCGUUGUCCGGAAUUAUUGGGCGUAAAGCGCGCGCAGGCGGUUUCUUAAGUCUGAUGUGAAAGCCCCCGGCUCAACCGGGGAGGGUCAUUGGAAACUGGGAAACUUGAGUGCAGAAGAGGAAAGUGGAAUUCCAAGUGUAGCGGUGAAAUGCGUAGAGAUUUGGAGGAACACCAGUGGCGAAGGCGACUUUCUGGUCUGUAACUGACGCUGAGCGCGAAAGCGUGGGGAGCAACAGGAUUAGAUACCCUGGUAGUCCACGCUGUAAACGAUGAGUGCUAAGUGUUAGAGGGUUUCCGCCCUUUAGUGCUGAAGUUAACGCAUUAAGCACUCCGCCUGGGGAGUACGGUCGCAAGACUGAAACUCAAAGGAAUUGACGGGGGCCCGCACAAGUGGUGGAGCAUGUGGUUUAAUUCGAAGCAACGCGAAGAACCUUAC
rnacentral:rRNA from 1 species